rnacentral:rRNA from 1 species
GACUCUCGGCAACGGAUAUCUCGGCUCACGCAUCGAUGAAGAACGUAGCAAAAUGCGAUACUUGGUGUGAAUUGCAGAAUCCCGUGAACCAUCGAGUUUUUGAACGCAAGUUGCGCCCAAAGCCUUUCGGUUGAGGGCACGUCUGCCUGGGCGUCACAU